rnacentral:rRNA from 1 species
UGAAGGGAGAGCUUGCUCUUCUGGAUGAGUUGCGAACGGGUGAGUAACGCGUAGGUAACCUGCCUGGUAGUGGGGGAUAACUAUUGGGAAACGAUAGCUAAUACCGCAUAAUAGUAGAUGUUGCAUGACAUUUGCUUAAAAGGUGCAAAUUGCAUCACUACCAGAUGGACCUGCGUUGUAUUAGCUAGUUGGUGGGGUAACGGCUCACCAAGGCGACGAUACAUAGCCGACCUGAGAGGGUGAUCGGCCACACUGGGACUGAGACACGGCCCAGACUCCUACGGGAGGCAGCAGUAGGGAAUCUUCGGCAAUGGACGGAAGUCUGACCGAGCAACGCCGCGUGAGUGAAGAAGGUUUUCGGAUCGUAAAGCUCUGUUGUAAGAGAAGAACGAGUGUGAGAGUGGAAAGUUCACACUGUGACGGUAUCUUACCAGAAAGGGACGGCUAACUACAUGCCAGCAGCCGCGGGUAAU